GUCCUCCAGCUCCCUGUGCCGAAUUACAACCCCCCCAACCGCUUCACAUACGCUGCCAUCACCUUAUUGACCUUUCCCUUAAUUUUUGCUACUGCGGAAGGAUUCCGCGCGUGUCGCCAGUGAAACCUCGGAACCAUUUCCGACCAUACGACCAUAACCCCCGGCACCAACUCCGUCAGCUUGUCCACAUCCCUCUUCAUACACUCAAUCAAUACCUUUUGAG